GUGGGGAAUCUUGCGCAAUGGGCGAAAGCCUGACGCAGCCAUGCCGCGUGAAUGAUGAAGGUCUUAGGAUUGUAAAAUUCUUUCACCGGGGACGAUAAUGACGGUACCCGGAGAAGAAGCUCCGGCUAACUUCGUGCCAGCAGCCGCGGUAAUACGAAGGGGGCUAGCGUUGCUCGGCAUUACUGGGCGUAAAGGGCGCGUAGGCGGACAGCUUAGUCAGAGGUGAAAGCCCAGGGCUCAACCUUGGAAUUGCCUUUGAUACUGGCUGUCUUGAGUUUGGGAGAGGUGAGUGGAACUCCGAGUGUAGAGGUGAAAUUCGUAGAUAUUCGGAAGAACACCAGUGGCGAAGGCGACUCACUGGCCCAAUACUGACGCUGAGGCGCGAAAGCGUGGGGAGCAAACAGGAUUAGAUACCCGUGUAGUCC
rnacentral:rRNA from 1 species